AUUGAACGCUGGCGGCAGGCCUAACACAUGCAAGUCGAACGAGUGGCGGACGGGUGAGUAAUGUCUGGGAAACUGCCUGAUGGAGGGGGAUAACUACUGGAAACGGUAGCUAAUACCGCAUACCAUCAGAUGUGCCCAGAUGGGAUUAGCUAGUAGGUGGGGUAACGGCUCACCUAGGCGACGAUCCCUAGCUGGUCUGAGAGGAUGACCAGCCAAACUGGAACUGAGACACGGUCCAGACCCCUACGGGAGGAAGCAGUGGGUAAUAUUGCACAAUGGGCGAAAGCCUGAUGCAGCCAUGCCGCGUGUAUGAAGAAGGCCUUCGGGUUGUAAAGCACUUUCAGCGGGGAGGCGUUACUCGCAGAAGAAGCACCGGCUAACUCCGUGCCAGCAGCCGCGGUAAUAC
rnacentral:rRNA from 1 species